GUGCUCGCUUUAGCGGCACAUACACUAAAACUGCAAUGAUACAGAGAAGAUUAGCAUGGCCCCUGUGCAAGGAUUACACGCAAAUUCGUGAAGCGUUCCAUAUUUUA